GAUGAACGCUGGCGGCGUGCCUAAUACAUGCAAGUCGAGCGAACAGACGAGGAGCUUGCUCCUCUGACGUUAGCGGCGGACGGGUGAGUAACACGUGGAUAACCUACCUAUAAGACUGGGAUAACUUCGGGAAACCGGAGCUAAUACCGGAUCAUAUAUUGAACCGCAUGGUUCAAUAGUGAAAGACGGUUUUGCUGUCACUUCUAGAUGGAUCCGCGCCGCAUUAGCUAGUUGGUAAGGUAACGGCUUACCAAGGCGACGAUGCGUAGCCGACCUGAGAGGGUGAUCGGCCACACUGGAACUGAGACACGGUCCAGACUCCUACGGGAGGCAGCAGUAGGGAAUCUUCCGCAAUGGGCGCAAGCCUGACGGAGCAACGCCGCGUGAGUGAUGAAGGUCUUCGGAUCGUAAAACUCUGUUAUUAGGGAAGAACAAAUGUGUAAGUAACUAUGCACGUCUUGACGGUACCUAAUCAGAAAGCCACGGCUAACUACGUG
rnacentral:rRNA from 1 species